GAGGGCCGUAGCUCAGUGGUAGAGUAUCAGCGUCACAUGCAGAAGGCCCCAGGUUCAAUCCUUCACAUCUUUA